rnacentral:lncRNA from 1 species
GCAUCUCCUGGUCUUCUUCUCGUUCACUGCAGGGAACGUGAACAGGAGACGAAGAGGGCGUGCCACCCCCUUCUGGAUAGGACCAAAGUCCUGUACCGUCACAAGGACCGCAAUACACGGGAGCUCUACGAAGCUUAUGCGAUUAGAAAAACA